UUUUUUUUUUUUUUUUUAAUUUCAAGUGUUAAAUUUCAAUUAGUUAACAUAUGGUAAAAUGAGUUUCAGGUGUAGGGGCACCAGGGUGGCUCAGUUAAUAGAGGGUCUGAUUCUUGAUUUUGGUUCAGGUGGUGAUCUUGGUGUCAUAGGAUGGUGGGAAUCCAAGUUGGGCUUCAUGCUCAGUGGGGAGUCUGCUGCUCUCCUUCCCUCUGCUCUUCCCCUCCAAGUAAAUAAAUUUUUAAAAAACUGAGUGUCAGGUGUAGAAUUUAGUGAUUCAUCACUUACAUAUAACACCCAGUGCUCAUCACAAGUGCCCACCUUAAUACCCAUCACCUACUUAACCCAUCUCCCUGCCCACCUUCCCUCUAUCAAGACUCAGUUUGUUCUCCAUAGUUAAGGGUCUCUUAUGAUUUGCCUCUCUUUUUUUCCCUUUGUUCAUCUGUUUUGUUUCUUAAAUUCCACGAGUGAAAUCAUAUGGUAUUUGUCUUCCUCUGACUCUCACCCACCUUAACUCUUUUACUCUAUUUCUCACUGUUGUAUUCUGAAGACAAACUUCCUAGUUCUGAAGAGGUAAUUAAGACUAGGAAUCUUUCUCAUCUAACCAAGAGACUCCUUAUUUAGAAAGCACAAUCUUAGUAUAAAGGUAUAAGAACAAAGCAAGUUUUAGUACUACCUCCUACUUUUGUUCUCUGGAAUAUCUGGUGAGGAUUGAGGAGAGUCUCUAUCUCAGGGAGACAGAAAGGGUUUACAGUUCUCUCCAAUUUGGCAGGAUAAUGACCUGGGAGAGGGAUCCUGGGCCAGAGGGUCCCUGAGGAGCACAGGUUCCUAAAAGUGUAUAGCAAUAGCAGAAUUAGAAUUUUGUCUGGUUCAUCUGACCCAGAAUGCAGAGGAAAGUACUCCUUUUACAAAGUCAAUGAAGCAUAGUUAUGGAUCCAUAAAACAGUGGCCAGAUAUUUCUGGGCAGUCCCACAUCCUAAGUGAACCAGCAACCCUUUAAAAUCACAGGGCAGGGCAGCCCGGGUGUCCCCAAAGGAGUUUUUCUAAUUAGGAUGAGAGCUUAUAUUUCAAAAAAAUAAAUAUAAUAAUUUUGAAAUUUUAAAGCUUCAAAACUGCACAGCUCUUAAUGAUGCAGACUGGCCUGGUCUGAAGACCCAAAGGGGGUCCCAUAGGACCAGCCAACAGGAUCCUCGGUGUUGUGCAGGAAAGAAGAAAACACAAGCUGAAAGUGAGAGCAGAGUUUAUUGAAGAUAUAUAGAGAGAAGAUUACAGAUGGAACAUCUAGGAGAUCCAGCAAGGAAAAGGAAAAUGAAUCUCCUCUUUGCUUGAGGUCUGCAGUUUUUUCUGAGGACGGUGGUCAGGUGUACGUGUCCUGUCAGGCAUCUAGGUACUAGUCAAAACAAGGGCAAGUAUUACAGUGUCUCCAGAAGCCAUUUAUGCCCUGGAGCUAGGGGUCCUGCUGUCAAGGUGUCUGGAGUAACUGGUCUUAGAAAACAUCACGAUGACCUCACCUAGUCACUCCUUAGAUGUUAUCUACUGUCCUGGAAGACUCCAAAGAAAUCACUAACUCCUUGACAUUUACAAGGACGACAUACAUUAUUGGUACUUUAAGCCAUGUGUAUGGCAGGGAUGCAGGUCUUAGCAAGAAUAUAAGCAGGAAAAGGAGCAAAAAACUAGUUGUUUCAUGGGGUCCCUUUAGUUUCUGUCUCAAUAUAAGGAAUUUUGGGGAAAUUUUGAUACUGUUAAGAUUUUGAAAAUGAUUUUUUUACAAUAAAAAAUAUUUAUGUGAAGUUUAGGUGCAAAAAAUGUUUUCUUCUUUGCUCACUAUUCAUUGGGAGACUCUUAUAGUCUUGCUUUCUUAUAUGUGACCUAUGUAAGUCUUUCUCUUCCAUGUGACAUGGAAGGAAAGAAAGACUGCCUUCCCAUAGAUAUGAUGAUAUAUCUAUUCAUGGGUUAUCUAGAAAUCCUAAAUGACUACUAACUUUCCUCAUUAUUAUUACUUAAUAGGUGUCACACAAUAACAAAACCCAAAUGUGCAAAAGCUAUACACUAAUAUUUUCGUGUGUUUUUCUGUCCACUUGUCUGGAAGAAAGGCUGAAAUUCUUUCAGAUUACUGAAGUGGUCUGUAAAUUAAAAAAAAAAAAAGUUAGAACCAAAGUUUAAAAAUUUCAGCAAGAAAAUCCUACAAUAAUAUUAUUUGGACAGAGAAGCUGAUUGCUCUGCCUUAUUAUUAUAAAAAGAUUCCAUUUGUGCUUCUGUCCAGAGAUUAGGGCUGAAUAAAUAGGAAGCUCUUCCAGAGAGAGGAAACAAAACAGGUUAGGGAACCAGUGAAUGAUUAUCUCCACCAAGCCCACUGGAUGUAAACUGCUAGCUCACCAUUCUCUAAAGCAAUUAAGAUUUCUUUGGUGGACAGAAUAGUCUUAAAGCAUCAGUUAUAAAUAAAUGGAUAAAUUAAUUCUAAAUAAACGUAAGCACCAAAAUAAUGAAUAUAAAGGAGUUGGCCAUCUCAAUGAUACACUAAAAUUUUUAUUUUUUUCCCCAGGUAAUACAUCAGCUAAUAUAUGAGAAAAUAAGGUGGAAGUACAAAUAAAUUUCAAGAAUAAAGCCACUCAGAUAUUUUUCAGGUACCUUUACCUAAUUAACUGUGAAGAAGUUGUCUUUUGUAUAAAAGAGUAAUACAGGAAUCCUUGACACAUUUUUAUUUUAUUGAUCAUGUUUUUUGAAGUGUUUCCAAAAGGCAGUGAAACCUAUAAAAGUGAUUCAUCAUAUUCUCAAUUGAAAAUUAAAUGACGGACUGUGUAAAUAAAAAGUUUUAACUUUCAUUUGAGAGAGAGAGAGUGAGCAUGAGCAAGUAGAGGGACAGAGGGAGAGAAAGAAAGGAGGCUCAAGCAGGCUCUACGGAGGGCUCAAUCCCACAACCCUGAGAUCAUAACUUGGGCAGAAAUCAAUAGUCAGAUACCCAACCUACUGAGCCACCCAGGUGCCUUGACUC
rnacentral:lncRNA from 1 species